AUGGGCGAAAGCCUGAUCCAGCAAUGCCGCGUGUGUGAAGAAGGCCUUCGGGUUGUAAAGCACUUUUGUCCGGAAAGAAAUGGCUCUGGUUAAUACCUGGGGUCGAUGACGGUACCGGAAGAAUAAGGACCGGCUAACUACGUGCCAGCAGCCGCGGUAAUACGUAGGGUCCAAGCGUUAAUCGGAAUUACUGGGCGUAAAGCGUGCGCAGGCGGUUGUGCAAGACCGAUGUGAAAUCCCCGAGCUUAACUUGGGAAUUGCAUUGGUGACUGCACGGCUAGAGUGUGUCAGAGGGGGGUAGAAUUCCACGUGUAGCAGUGAAAUGCGUAGAGAUGUGGAGGAAUACCGAUGGCGAAGGCAGCCCCCUGGGAUAACACUGACGCUCAUGCACGAAAGCGUGGGGAGCAAACAGGAUUAGAUACCCUGGUAGUCCACGCCCUAAACGAUGUCAACUAGUUGUUGGGGAUUCAUUUCCUUAGUAACGUAGCUAACGCGUGAAGUUGACCGCCUGGGGAGUACGGUCGCAAGAUUAAAACUCAAAGGAAUUGACGGGGACCCGCACAAGCGGUGGAUGAUGUGGAUUAAUUCG
rnacentral:rRNA from 1 species